UACGAAGGGGACUAGCGUUGUUCGGAAUCACUGGGCGUAAAGCGCACGUAGGCGGAUAUGUCAGUCAGGGGUGAAAUCCCGGGGCUCAACCUCGGAACUGCCCUUAAUACAGCAUAUCUUGAGUCCGAGAGAGGUGAGUGGAAUUCCCAGUGUAGAGGUGAAAUUCGUAGAUAUUGGGAAGAACACCAGUGGCGAAGGCGGCUCACUGGCUCGUAACUGACGCUCAGGCGCGACAGCGUGGGGAUCAAACAGG
rnacentral:rRNA from 1 species